rnacentral:ncRNA from 1 species
AUAAAAAUUUGUGAUUUUUAAAAUUUAUUUUUAAUUUAUUUUACAUAUAAAUUUUAGUGUUAAUUUUUAAUUAUUUUAAUAAUAAUUAAUUUAAUUUGUAGUAAUUAAAAUUAAAAAUUUAAGAAAUUAAGAUUUAGUAAUAUUAAAAUUAUUAACAAAUUUUGUGCCAGCAGUUGCGGUUAUACAAAAAUUAAAAUAAAUUUUUUCAGUUAUAAUUAAUAAUAAUAAUUUAAAUUAAAUAUUAAAUUAUUAAGUGAAAUUUUAAUUUAAUUAAAAUUUAUAUUUUUUUUAUGAUUUAAUAAAUUUUGUAAAUAAACUAGGAUUAGAUACCCUAUUAUAAAAAAAAAUAUAAUACUAAAAUAUUAAAUAUUUUAUUAUUGAAACUUAAGUAAUUUGGCGGUAUUUUAGUUCAUUUAGAGGAAUCUGUUUAAUAAUUGAUAAUCCACGAAUAAAUUUACUUAAUUUAUUAUUUUAUAUAUCGUUGUUAAAAAAAUAUUUUUAGAUAAUAAUAAUAUUUAAAAUUUUUUAUUAUAAAUUAAUUCAGAUCAAGAUGUAGAUUAUAGUUAAGAAUAAAAUGGAUUACAAUAAAUUUAUUUAAAUGAAUAUUGUUUUGAAAUAAAUAAAUAAAGGUGGAUUUAAAUGUAAUUUUAUUUAAUUUAUUAAAAUGAUUAAUAAUUAAAAUAUGUACAUAUUGCCCGUCACUUUCAUUUAAAAAUUGGAAUAAGUCGUAACAAAGUAGAAGUACUGGAAAGUGUUUCUAGAAAGAA